GAUGAACGCUGGCGGCGUGCCUAAUACAUGCAAGUCGAGCGAACAGAUGAGGAGCUUGCUCCUCUGACGUUAGCGGCGGACGGGUGAGUAACACGUGGAUAACCUACCUAUAAGACUGGGAUAACUUCGGGAAACCGGAGCUAAUACCGGAUAAUAUAUUGAACCGCAUGGUUCAAUAGUGAAAGACGGUUUUGCUGUCACUUAUAGAUGGAUCCGCGCCGCAUUAGCUAGUUGGUAAGGUAACGGCUUACCAAGGCGACGAUGCGUAGCCGACCUGAGAGGGUGAUCGGCCACACUGGAACGGAGACACGGUCCAGACUCCUACGGGAGGCAGCAGUAGGGAAUCUUCCGCAAUGGGCGAAAGCCUGACGGAGCAACGCCGCGUGAGUGAUGAAGGUCUUCGGAUCGUAAAACUCUGUUAUUAGGGAAGAACAAAUGUGUAAGUAACUAUGCACGUCUUGACGGUACCUAAUCAGAAAGCCACGGCUAACUACGUG
rnacentral:rRNA from 1 species